rnacentral:tRNA from 1 species
GGAGCGGUGUCCGAGCGGUUUAAGGAGAUGGUUUCGAAAACCAUUGAACUCUUGCGGGUUCCGGGGGUUCGAAUCCCCCCUGCUCCG